rnacentral:rRNA from 1 species
CCUACGGGUGGCAGCAGUGAGGAAUAUUGGUCAAUGGACGAGAGUCUGAACCAGCCAAGUAGCGUGAAGGAUGACUGCCCUAUGGGUUGUAAACUUCUUUUAUAAAGGAAUAAAACGAGGCACGUGUGCCUUUUUGCAUGUACUUUAUGAAUAAGGAUCGGCUAACUCCGUGCCAGCAGCCGCGGUAAUACGGAGGAUCCGAGCGUUAUCCGGAUUUAUUGGGUUGAAAGGGAGCGUAGAUGGGUUGUUAAGUCAGUUGUGAAAGUUUGCGGCUCAACCGUAAAAUUGCAAUUGAUACUGGCAGUCGUGAGUACAGUUGAGGUAGGCGGAAUUCGUGGUGUAGCGGUGAAAUGCUUAGAUAUCACGAAGAACCCCGAUUGCGAAGGCAGCUUACUAAACUGUGACUGACAUUGAUGCUCGAAAGUGUGGGUAUCAAACAGGAUUAGAUACCCGAGUAGUC